CCCUGGCUCAGGACGAACGCAGGCGGCGUGCCUAAUACAUGCAAGUCGAGCGGAAUGAUGAAGAAGCUUGCUUCUUCUGAUUUAGCGGCGGACGGGUGAGUAACACGUGGGCAACCUACCUUGUAGAUUGGGAUAACUCCGGGAAACCGGGGCUAAUACCAAAUAAUCCAUUUUGCUUCAUGGCGAAAUGUUGAAAGGCGGCUUCGGCUGUCACUACGAGAUGGGCCCGCGGCGCAUUAGCUAGUUGGUAGGGUAACGGCCUACCAAGGCGACGAUGCGUAGCCGACCUGAGAGGGUGAUCGGCCACACUGGGACUGAGACACGGCCCAGACUCCUACGGGAGGCAGCAGUAGGGAAUCUUCCACAAUGGACGAAAGUCUGAUGGAGCAACGCCGCGUGAGUGAAGAAGGUUUUCGGAUCGUAAAACUCUGUUGUAAGGGAAGAACACGUACGAGAGUAACUGCUCGUACCUUGACCGGUACCUUAUUAGAAAGCCACGGCUAACUA
rnacentral:rRNA from 1 species